rnacentral:lncRNA from 10 species
AAGGGGCCCGCACUUCAUUUAAUGCUCUGCUGUUGCUGACUUGAAAUUCUUAAUAAUUUUUUAGCAAGGUUUCAUUUUACAAUGGACCCCACAAAUUAUGUGGUCUGUCCGGAUUAUAAACAAUUGCUUAAACUAUGGAGCAGGUCUGUUUUCUGGGUCUAUGAAAAAUCUGGUGUUAAUCGUUUUUAGGAAAUUUGAAUUUUAAGAUCUGGAAACUGAAAAUAUUUUGUGUUUUUAUUUUGUAUUUUUUAAACAUACAGUGUUUGCCUUUUUGUGACUAGCCUCUUUCAUUUACCAUAAUAUCCUCAAGAUUCAUCCAUGUCGUAGCAUGUGUCAGAAUGUCCUUCUUUUUUAAGGCUGAAUAAUAUUUCAUUGUAUGUGUAUACCACAUUUUGUUUAACCAUCCAUCCGUCAAUGGCCAUUUGGGUUGCUUACACUUUUUGACUAUAGUGAAUAAUGCUGCUGUGAACAUCUGUGU